GAUGAACGCUGGCUACAGGCUUAACACAUGCAAGUCGAGGGGAAACGCCGGGGAAGCUUGCUUCCCCGGGCGUCGACCGGCGCACGGGUGAGUAACGCGUAUCCAACCUGCCUCUGACUGAGGGAUAACCCGUCGAAAGUCGGCCUAAUACCUCAUGGCAUCGUCUGCGGGCAUCCAACGACGAUUAAAGAUUUCAUCGGUCAGGGAUGGGGAUGCGUCUGAUUAGCUAGUUGGCGGGGUAACGGCCCACCAAGGCGACGAUCAGUAGGGGUUCUGAGAGGAAGGUCCCCCACAUUGGAACUGAGACACGGUCCAAACUCCUACGGGAGGCAGCAGUGAGGAAUAUUGGUCAAUGGGCGAGAGCCUGAACCAGCCAAGUAGCGUGCAGGAUGACGGCCCUAUGGGUUGUAAACUGCUUUUAUGCGGGGAUAAAGUGAGGGACGUGUCCUUCAUUGCAGGUACCGCAUGAAUAAGGACCGGCUAAUUCCGUG
rnacentral:rRNA from 1 species